rnacentral:rRNA from 1 species
UGAAUACGAGAUGCUACGGCGUCGAAGCAGUCUAUGUCAUACUUCCAAGAAAAGCUUGCACUGUCAUAAACAAAUAAUGCCUGUACCAUAACCGACACAGGUGGGUAGGUAGAGUAUACUAAGGGGCGCGAGAUAACUCUCUCUAAGGAACUCGGCAAAAUGACUCCGUAACUUCGGGAGAAGGAGUGCCUUAUUUAUAAGGUUGCGAUAACAAGAUCCAAGCAACUGUUUACCAAAAACACAGGUCUCCGCUAAGUCGUAAGACGAUGUAUGGGGGCUGACGCCUGCCCAGUGCCAGAAGGUUAAAGAAGUUGGUUAGCAUCCGCGAAGCUGAUAACUGAAGCCCUGGUGAACGGCGGCCGUAACGAUAACGGUCCUAAGGUAGCGAAAUUCCUUGUCGGGUAAGUUCCGACCCGCACGAAAGGCGUAAUGAUUUGGAUACUGUCUCGGAGAGGGGCUCGGUGAAAUAGACUUGUCUGUGAAGAUGCGGACUACCUGCACCAGGACAGAAAGACCCUAUGAAGCUUUACUGUAACCUGAAAUUGAAAUUGGACUUUACUUGCGCAGUAUAGGUGGGAGGCGUUGAGAAUAUUCUUGCGGGAUUAUUGGAGCCAUCAGUGAGAUACCACUCUUGUAAUGUUAGAUUUCUAACUUUGUAUCAUUAUCUGGUCAAAGAACAGUUUCAGGCGGGCAGUUUGACUGGGGCGGUCGCCUCCUAAACGGUAACGGAGGCGCACAAAGGUUUCCUCUGAACGGGUAGAAAUCGUAUCUAGAGUGUAAAGGCAUAAGGAAGCUUGACUGUGAGACCUACAAGUCGAGCAGGGACGAAAGUCGGUCUUAGUGAUCUGACGGUGCUGAGUGGAAAGGCCGUCACUCAACGGAUAAAAGUUACUCUAGGAUAACAGGCUGAUCUCCCCCAAGAGUUCACAUCGACGGGGAGGUUUGGCACCUCGAUGUCGGCUCAUCGCAUCCUGGGGCGGUAGUACGUCCCAAGGGUUGGGCUGUUCGCCCAUGAAAGCGGUACGCGAGCUGGGUUCAGAACGUCGUGAGACAGUUCGGUCCAUAUCCGGUGUAGGCGUUAGAAUAUUGAGAGGAGCCUUCUUUAGUACGAGAGGACCGAGAAGGACAUACCUCUGGUGUACCAGUUAUCGUGCCAACGGUAAACGCUGGGUAGCUAUGUGUGGAGUGGAUAACCGCUGAAAGCAUCUAAGUGGGAAGCCCACCUCAAGAUAAGUAUUCUCA